AGAGUUUGAUCCUGGCUCAGGAUGAACGCUAGCGGGAGGCUUAACACACGCAAGUCGAGGGGUAAGCGGGUAGCAAUAUCUGCCUAGACCGGCGCACGGGUGAGUAACGCGUAUGCAACCUGCCCUUUACAGGGGGAUAGCCCGGAGAAAUCCGGAUUAAUACCCCAUAGAUCUGUAGUUUCGCAUGAGACAACAGGUAAAGCUGAGGCGGUAAAGGAUGGGCAUGCGUGACAUUAGCUAGUUGGCGGGGUAACGGCCCACCAAGGCAACGAUGUCUAGGGGUUCUGAGAGGAAGAUCCCCCACACUGGUACUGAGACACGGACCAGACUCCUACGGGAGGCAGCAGUGAGGAAUAUUGGUCAAUGGGCGCGAGCCUGAACCAGCCAUCCCGCGUGCAGGAAGAAUGCCCUAUGGGUUGUAAACUGCUUUUGCGCAUGAAUAAAUGUAUCCUCGUGAGGGUAUUUGAAGGUAAUGCGUGAAUAAGCACCGGCUAACUCCGUGCCAGCAGCCGCGGUAAUACGGAGGGUGCAAGCGUUAUCCGGAUUUAUUGGGUUUAAAGGGUGCGCAGGCGGUAUCGUAAGUCAGUGGUGAAAACUUGCAGCUUAACUGUAAGACUGCCAUUGAAACUGCAGUACUUGAGUUAUCUUGAGGUAGGCGGAAUGUGUAGUGUAGCGGUGAAAUGCUUAGAUAUUACACAGAACACCGAUUGCGAAGGCAGCUUACUAAGGAUAAACUGACGCUCAGGCACGAAAGCGUGGGGAUCGAACAGGAUUAGAUACCCUGGUAGUCCACGCCGUAA
rnacentral:rRNA from 1 species